AGUUUCCCCUAAAGUCUUCCCUGGUUGUAGGCUUCAGAUGGAAGCCCCCAGUUCUUCCAGCUCUGCCUGGAACACGCACAGCUUCUAGGCUCAAUGCCUUCACUAUCCAGCCCCACGUCCCCAGGCUCCCUCAGAAUAGGCCAGCCUCACUUUGUCCUACAGGCCACCUUGCCCAUGUGGGUGUCAGGUAGGAGGUGAGGUGGCCUGGAGCAGCUUCCCAGGGUGUUUGUUCGCAAGCACUUUAGCAUUUCUGUUUACAUGCGAACUGCCCUAGCUGUUCUUACCACGCAUCUUCUCGGCACAGCCAUCAGGGCCAGGCCUCAUUUCCCUGCUACUUCUGGACUGGGCUCUGACAUCUGCUUGUCCUUGGUCUUCUAGAGCCAUCCAUCUCUGUGGUAUCCUGCAAAGGGUUCCGUUUCAGCCUCAAUAUGGCUUGGGGUUGGAGCCAACUGCACACUGGGUGGUGGAUGCUCAGAGCCACCCUCUACAGGCCUAGGGCCCAGGGAGGUGGGCAAGCACUACUCCAGCCAGCCUGGCCCUAACACUCUUGGUACUGCCGUCCUGCCAUGGGCCCCAUCCCCCUUCCUGCCUGGUCUUUCCCUUUGCACCUGGACUCAGGAGUGCCUGGGCCAUUCCAAGCUGGGCCUGGGUGCCUGGCCUCCACAUGCCUUGGGCUGGCUCUGCUCUCCAGCUGCCCCACUCUCUUAUGGUUGGACAGCUAGACAGAGCAGCAGGGGUGAGGGCCUUGAUGUGUCCCCAAGAGACACUGCAUUGAGUCCAGGCACAGGCCAGCAACCUCUGUUGGUUCAGAGGGGUCCGACUGCCACCCUCUACUCCAGUUUCCCCAGUUGGAUCUGGUGGCUCACAUCGGUGCUACACAAGCUAGAGUAGAUAUAUUUAGAGAGAGAAAGAUAUUUUUAAGGUGAAGCCCAUGAUUAGCUGUCCUUUAAUGCCGCAGAACACUCCCUCUUACCCCCUUCCUCCCACCCCCACCCAAAAAAAAUCCCUGGUCAUUUGGAUGGUCUGAGUAGACCAGGCCUCGGCCAUUGCUUCUCUGGAAGCGGCAGAGCCAAUACGCUCAGCCAUCAGAUGUGUAAAUAUACGGCUAUUUCCUAUUUUACGGUUCUUCAGAUUUAGUACUUGUAAAUAAACACACAUUAAGGAGAGAUUAAACAUUUUUGC
rnacentral:lncRNA from 1 species